CACUCCUGCGGGAGGCAGCAGUGGGGAAUUUUGGACCAUGGGCGAAAGCCUGAUCCAGCAAUGCCGCGUGAGUGAAGAAGGCCUUCGGGUUGUAAAGCUCUUUUGUCAGGGAAGAAACGGUGAAAGCUAAUAUCUUUUGCUAAUGACGGUACCUGAAGAAUAAGCACCGGCUAACUACGUGCCAGCAGCCGCGGUAAUACGUAGGGUGCAAGCGUUAAUCGGAAUUACUGGGCGUAAAGCGUGCGCAGGCGGUUUUGUAAGUCUGAUGUGAAAUCCCCGGGCUCAACCUGGGAAUUGCAUUGGAGACUGCAAGGCUAGAAUCUGGCAGAGGGGGGUAGAAUUCCACGUGUAGCAGUGAAAUGCGUAGAUAUGUGGAGGAACACCGAUGGCGAAGGCAGCCCCCUGGGUCAAGAUUGACGCUCAUGCACGAAAGCGUGGGGAGCAAACAGGAUUAGAAACCCUUGUAGUCCCAUG
rnacentral:rRNA from 1 species